GAUAAUGAAGUAAUAAUAUUACAUUUAAUUUCGACCUAAAAGUAGGAUAUAUAUCCCUUAUCU
rnacentral:tRNA from 1 species